rnacentral:rRNA from 1 species
GAUUAGGAGACGUUGAAUACAAAACACCACCAUCGGCGCGGUCGUCCUUGGCGUCUGUCCUUCACGGGGCCGGCGCGAGGGCGGCUUAUCCCGGUGGCACCGGUGAAUGACUCC